rnacentral:rRNA from 1 species
UACGAGGGGGGCAAAUGUUGUUCGGAAUCACUGGGCGUAAAGGGAGCGUAGGCGGGUUCUUAAGUAAGGUGUUUAAUCCCGGGGCCCAACCCCGGACCGGCACUUUAAACUGGGAAUCUUGAAUAGUGGAGAGGUCGGUGGAAUUGGGGGUGUAGCGGUGGAAUGCGUAGAGAUCCCCAAGAACACCAGUUGCGAAGGCGGCCGACUGGACACAUAUUGACGCUGAGGCUCGAAAGCAUGGG